GACGAACGCUGGCGGCGUGCUUAACACAUGCAAGUCGAACGGAAAGGCCCGGCUUUUGUGUGUUGCUCGAUUGGCGAACGGGUGAGUAACACGUGUGUAAACUGCCCUUGACUUUGGGAUAACUUCAGGAAACUGGGGCUAAUACCGGAUAGGAGCUUCUGCUGCAUGGUGGUGGUUGGAAAGUUUCGGCGGUUGGGGAUGGACUCGCGGCUUAUCAGCUUGUUGGUGGGGUAGUGGCUGACCAGGUCUUUGACGGGUAGCAGGCCUGAGAGGGUGACCGGCGUCAAUGGGACUGAGAGACGGCGCAGACUCCUAUGGGCGGCAGCGGUGGGGAACAUUGCACAGCGGGCGGGAGCGUGAUGCAGCGACGCCGCGUGCGGGAUGCCGGCCUUCGGGUUGUAAACCGAUUUCGACUGAGACGAAGCGUGCGUGACGGUAAUGGGUAAAGAAGCACCGGCUAACUACGUG
rnacentral:rRNA from 1 species